ensembl:lncRNA
CAUGCGCAGUUCAGGCCUCAGAAGGCCAGGCGUGGUGUGCCUGGGCUCGGGGCGCACAGUCCCACAGGGUGAGAUCAAUACAGUCUCAUUAGGGGCUUCCAGCCUCUCCCAACCUCCCCGGGUCUCAGCAGGAUUCAGUUCCUUGCGACGGCAGGACUGAGGGCCCGUUGUCUUGCUGGCUGUUGGCUGGGGUCCGUUCUCAGCUCCGAAAGGCCAUCCUCAGGUCCUUGUCCUAGGGCACCUCCAUCUGAGUGUCCCACACAUGGCCUCCCCCUCUCGCUCUGAAUCUCUUCCCGCCUUUUCCGCAGCAGCAGCAGAAAGCUCUGCCUUUCCGGGGCCUGUGUGAGUAGAUCAGGGCCGCCUGGACAACCUCUCGCAAGGGCAGCUGCACCAAGUAAGAACAUCAUCACAGGAACGACAUAUUUAUUCAGAUGCCACCCACCCUCUUUCGUCUUUUCUUUUUUUUUAGGGCCACACCCGUGGCAUAUGGAGGUUCCCAGGCUAGGGGGCCAGUUGGAGCUGUAGCUGCCGGCCUACACCACAGCCACAGCAAUGCCGGAUCCUUAACCCACUGAGCGAGGCCAGGGAUCGAACCCAUGUCCUCGUGGAUACUAGUCAGGUAUCCAGAUUCUGCCCACUAUCAAUGAGAGGGAGUCCACGAGGGCAAAGGUCACUGGGGGGGGGUCAUAGGAGAAUUCUGCUCCCACAGAUGGGGGGACCUGAAGGAGGUGAGAGAAAGCUAAUGAACUUCCCCAAGGACGUACAGAGAAUUGGAGAUGGGGCCUGAAAAGAAGUCUAGGGCCUCAAACUUAAUUUGAGGACUUUUCCUCUACGCAAAUAUGCCAGGAGCGGGGGAUGGACGAACCUGAUGGCCUUUUCAGCCCUGGUUGGUCUUUGAGGUCCCAGCCUGCUUGGGGGCAGUGGGGGUGGGGGUAGGGGUGGUGUGUAUCCCAGCUGUUGGAGCAGAGAGGAGACUCCAGAGAACCAAAAAGCCUCUGCCCAGGAGAGUAUCCUGAAUGCUCCUAGAAAGGCAGAAUGGGGGUCAGACGCCUCUGAUGGGUUUGGAGCAAACCUCAUUAUCUGGCAAUGCCCUGGUCCCUUUUCCUACCCUAGUCUCAAGGAGACCUCUGGCCACCAAGGCUGGGAUCCCCAACCACUAGGGGGCGCCCGACACACGCCAUGUUUUUGUGCAAGCUGAGCCUGAACAGGAUUGGGGAACCCAAGGCAGGUAUUGGGGUAGAAGGCUGAUGGCACACCUCCCCACAGCCCCACAGCCCUGCAGAUCCCAAGGCACCAGGCUUGUCUGGUUGCCCACAUACCCUGACCCCCCCAACAGAUGCCCACUUCCUUGUAAUAACUGAGUCUGGUUCACUUUGCUCACAAGCAAGUCCUUCGAAAGGGGAAGGGAGUCCCCCUGUGACAUGUCUCCUUUCCCCCCGACUUUGUUCCCACACCCCCAGGUUUCCAGGCCUGAGGCUGAAGCCCACAGGGAGGGCUCCUGCCCUUCCCUCCCCUCCACCAGCUCACCCUGUCCUGGGCCCCCCAAGGAAACGUCCCUCUGCUUUUCAACACCAGGUCAUCGGCUUCGACUGGGUGCACCCCCUUUAUAAAAACUCAGCAAAUGGCCACCUAGCUGGACUGUUUUGGUUUUAGACAGAAAUGGCUGUCUGACCACUUCCUCUGUUCAAUGUAAGCAGACGGGGCGGCUAUAGCAACCCCACCAGGCAGACUAGGACCCUGGGACUGCAGAGCAGUAAAAGGGGGGACCUGACGUCCAGCCUGGGCCCUUCCCACCAGGAGCGCAGGGGGAGCCCUGAGGCCCCGAUCCCUAUCAGGGGAGUCAGUCGGCCAAGCCACCAAGGGGGUGUGGCCGGAGAGGCUGAAGGCUCAGCAUCUGGGGUUCGGGAGGGAGUAGGAAGAGGACAACUGGGGUGCUGCUGAGCCUGGAAAGGCUGUCCAGUGUCCCCUGGGCAGCUGGCUCCCCGCCCCCCAGGGGAGUGGACAGGGUCGGGGAGAGAAGGCAGGAUGUGCACUCCCAGCUAAGGAUGGAACAGGUGGGCUGGCCCAGCCAGGCCAGCACAUGGGCAGAGGCCCCCUCUGAUGGGAAAGCAGAACUGGGGGGACCGCAAGGUGCGGGGGGGGAGUUGCUCUUCCUGGGGAGGGGGCUCCAAGCCCCAGCGUGUCAGGAGGCACAUGUGUAUGGGUUCGAGAGCUCUGGGCCACCAUGUGCCAGAUGCUACUCUGGCAACGUUUCCUGCAUUCCCCGUUUUCAUUCUCAAAACAGGCCCCUAAGUCUUCGUAUACCCCAGGGACUUGCCAAGGUCAUGUGGCCAGUCUGUGCCAGUGCUUGUCUCCCUUCGAGCUCUUCAAUGGCCUGUCCUGCUGCCCCCAGAACAGCUUCCAGGCUGAGAACUCACCUGGCCCUGGAGGCCCAGCCCUGCCCAGGUAAGGCCAGGUGCACGAGGGGAGCUGAGGGAUGUGGAGGGGGAAAAAGGACAAGGUCAGCUUCACGAUGGUACGGAACCCAGGCUCUGAGGUUGACUGUUGGUGCCCAGACCGCCCAGGGAAGGAACAAGACCUGGGAGUCUGGGAAAGCUUUGGCUUCAAGUUUGGGCGGACGGGCUGGGGCGGGGGCCAGGGGGGGGGGGGGUGUGUGGAAAGAGGGGAACUGGGCUGCAGCAAAGGCCAGUUUCAGCAUGGCUUGCUCCUCCCUCAACACCCCUGGACCCCGAGACCACUUGCGGCCGAGCUGCUCCCGCCAGCACACGGGGGGUUAACAUCUGUCUGGAGCAGUGACCACAGCAGCAGCAGCCUGCGAUGCCAGUAACUCAGAAGCUGAAAUGUGAGAAGCAAGAGGAGAGGGGCAGGGCUGGGAAAGGCUGAGCAGCAGGAGAGAGAGUUUCCCUGGCAGCAGCCUGCAGCCGGGCUCCAGCAGCCAGAGCAGUCCCUCCCAUCCUUGGCCCAUGUCCCCUCCUGCCUCCGGCUGUGGCUGUGGCACCCACGCAGGGUGGCCCACGGUCACGACCAGCAUCCAAACCCUCGGGCCACGGUGCAGCAGGUCGGGGCUGCAGUUCUGGGGAAGGGGUGAAGGGCGUGCCCAGGCGGCCAGCAGAGAAGCGUGGGGCCCUGCCCGGCUCUGCCGGAAGCGCUGGGUGGGGAGCCGGCAGAGGGCAGAGCGGGGAGGAGGACGGGAGGUCCCUUGGGGCCCCGACCUCAGAGGCCUGGCCUUGACUUCCCCCUCCUUGGGCAGAACUGAGUCAUGGGAGCCUCCAGCUGCUCCAGAGGCAGGGAGACAAAGUUCCCUGGCCCCUCCCCGGGCUACGCAGCCUGCCUGUGUGCUGAGGACCGCGGCUUCCAGUGCCUGGGAGUGUGUGUGAGGCGCUGGGCACCACGGGAGCCCCUCACCACUCCCCGCCCUUCAUCAGCACCCCCCAACACCGUACCUCAGAGCAUCUGCAGGUAUCACUGUGACCCCCACACAGAUGAGCAAACACAAGCUCAGAGAGAUUCAGAAAUUUGUCCGAAGUCACACAGCCCGAGAGGCAAAGCUGAUGUGACCUCCGGGCUUGUUUGACAGCAAUUAACCCGCCGUGCCUCGCGCCGGGCCGGCGAGAGGAGCAAAGUCCGCCGGCAGGUGACCCAGGGCUGUGUGCCAAGUCCAAGAAGGCAAGAGAUGAAAGGUGGCCCGGGAGCCCCAGGAAAGAUGCUGCAGGUGAGGUUUGGGGCUCAGGAACCCGAGAGGUGGUACAGGCUGGGAGCAGCAUCCAGAGGGAGCCAGAGAAGGUCUGGUCCUGCACUGCUCGUGGAGGAGGACUCGAUGGCAGGCAGGAGGGACCUCCCGUAACCCCUUAAGAUGCAUCCCCUGGAGCCACAGUGUCACCCCCGAGCAGGUGACCCACUCACCUUGACAGAUCAAGGGCACUUCUGGGGCGUGAUGUUUGCACAGCCCUCGUUUGAAGAGGCAGCAACUUUACUGCAGGAUGGCAUCGGCCAGGGCUCUGCUAAAAAUGUACAGAAGCACUGGAGCAGGUUCCACUGGAGCCUACUGGCCAGGGGACAGGAGGGUCCCAGCUCCAUAGUUCCCAGUGUGACACAGAUUCACCUCUCUGAGCCUUGGUUUCCUCACCUGCAGAAAGGAGAACUUGCCAGCACCAACACGCAGGGCUUCUGUGAGCAUGAAAUGAGGUGUUGGCCAAAAAGCACUUAGAAGCCUUCCUCCUUCCUCAAAAACUUGUCCCCGCAUGUUCAUAGCAGCAUUAUUCACAAAAAGUAGAGCCAACCCAAAUGUCCUCUGACGGAUGAAUGGAUAAAUACGUGCAGAUCUAGCCAGACAAAUGGAAUAUUAUUCAGCAAUGAAAAGGAAUGAGAGUUCCUGUCGUGGCUCAGUGGAAACAAAUCUGACUAAUAUCCACAGGACGCAGGUUCGAUCCCUGGUCUCGCUCAGUGGCUUAAGGAUCUGGUGUUGCUGUGAGCUGUGGUGUGGGUUGAAGAUGCAGCUCGGAUCUGGCAUGGCUGUGGCUGUGGUGUAGGCCAGCGGCUACAGCUCCGAUUUGACCCCUGGCCUGGGAACCUCCAUAUGCUGCAGGUGUGGCCCUAAAAACCAAAAAACUAAAAAAUAAAAAUAAAUUUAAAAAAAAAUGAAUGAAGCACUGACACACGUGACAAUGGGGAUGAACCUUGAAAACAGAAUGUUCCGUGAAAGAAGGCAGACACAAAGGACCACAUACCGUGGGACUCCAUAUAUAUGAAAUGUCCAGAACAGGCAAAAUCUGUGGUCAGGAAGCAGACUACUCGUUGCCAGUGGCUGGGAUAGAGAGCCAUGGAGGAAUGGGGAGUGGCUGACAAUGGGUUCAGGGUUUUUGUUUGCUUUUGUUUUUGUUUUUGUUUUUUGUUUUUGUCUUUUCCAGGCCCACACCCUCGGCAUAUGGAGGUUCCCAGGCUAGAGGUCUAAUCAGAGCUAUAGCUGCUGGCCUACGCCACAGCCACAGCAAUGCCAGAUCCGAGCCGUGUCUGCCACCUGCAACACCGGAUCCUUAACCCACUGGGCAAGGCCAGGGAUCGAACCCACAACCUCAUGGUUCCUAGUCGGAUUCGUUAACCACUGACCCACAACAGGAACUCCUGUUUUUGUUUUUAAUCAAUGUUUUAAGCGGUUUUAAGUUCAAGGCAAUAUUGAGCAAACGUACAGAGAGUGUGCAUACCCCUCCCACCCCAUGUGUGUACAGCCCCGUGAUCAAAUCCUCCACGUGAAUGGCACAUUUGUUACAAGUGAUGACUACACUAGGGCUCCUUCAAGGGGAUGAUAAAAAUGUUCUGGAGUCAGAUAGUGGAGAUGGACGCAAAAUUCUGUGAAUAUACUAAAACCCGCUGGGCUGUACACUUUCUGUUUGUUUGUUUUUUAGGGCCACACUCGCAGCAUAUGGAGGUUCCCAGGCUAGGGGUCAAAUCGGAGCUACAGCUGCCGGACUACACCACAGCUCACAGCAAUGCCGGAUCCUUAACCCACUGAGCGAGGCCAAGUAUCGAACCCGCAUCCUCAUGGAUCCUAGUUGGGUUUGUUAAGUGCUGAGCCACGAAGGGCACUCAUGGGUUGUACACUUUAAAAGGGAUGAAUUUGGAGUUUCCAAAUUCACAGGAGUGCAGCCAAAAAAAAAAAAAAAA